GAUGUGACACAUCCUAGUACUACAAAUCUAGACAUAUAUAUUUUCAGAUCCAUUGUAUUAGAAUAUGUUACAUAUGUCUAGAUUCGUAGUAUUAGGAUGUGUCACAUCUG
rnacentral:misc_RNA from 1 species